rnacentral:misc_RNA from 1 species
AAUUUAAAUACAAAGGACUGACCAUUUGCAUGAAUUAAUCGGAUUAAAUAUGUUAUUAGAUACAUUUGCUUUACUUGUUCAGGAAAUGAAAUAAUUUUUAAAGCUAUGUCCUCCAUGUUUCUUUUGCAAAAUGCUAGCAGAAAUCUUGCUUUGGAUACUGUGAACAUAAAUGCCCAGGAAAAGAGGGUUGGAAACAUUUUGUAAUGUUAUGCACCAAAAAAGCUGAAGAAAUUUUGAAUGUAUUAAUCUUAACUUCUUAUAUUCAGUAAUUGGCGAUUUUUUAAAACGAUUCUUUGAAAAAUGGUUUUUAAUCAAAUUUAUGGUGAAGUAAAUGACAAACUUCUGAACCAAUUCUAUAUUCCAAUUGUUAUUUUUAAUUGUUGAAUUAUAUACCAUACCGUUCGGAAGGUAGUAGUGUUAUAUACAUUUUUACUCUGCAAUAAUUGCUACCUUUACACUCAAAUGAACAAUCAACGAGUGUAUUUUGUUUAAAUAGUAAGUAUUUAACAUUUUCAAUAAAGUCUUAGCAUAUUUUUUUUACUAGAACACUAGUUAGCCUGUGACGCACCAUGUUUCUGCUGGCAAAUAAAUGUACCUUAAGUUUACAAAUGUGAUCACUACUGCUACAUUGAUGCCAAUUGUUACUUAUUACACAUAUAAUACAUGUUAUAUCUGAAAUAAAUAAUCACUUUUU